rnacentral:rRNA from 1 species
GACGAACGCUGGCGGCGUGCCUAAUACAUGCAAGUAGAACGCAGUUGCGAACGGGUGAGUAACGCGUAGGUAACUGCCUCAUAGCGGGGGGUAACUAUUGGAAACGAUAGCUAAUACCGCAUAAUGUGAGAUGGACCUGCGUUGUAUUAGCUAGUUGGUGGGGUACAGGCUCACCAAGGCGACGAUACAUGGCCGAACUGGGAGGGGGGACGGCCAAACUGGGAACUGGACCAGGCCCAGACUCCGACGGGAGGGAGCAGUAGGGAAUCUUCGGCAAUGGACGGAAGGCUGACCGAGCAACGCCGCGUGAGUGAAGAAGGGUUUCGGAUCGUAAAGCUCUGUUGUGAGAGAAGCGGUAACUAACGAGAAAGGAACGGCUAACUACGUGCCAGCAGCCGCGGUAAUUC